CCCUGCCUUUUGUACACACCGCCCGUCGCAUCAAGGAACUCAACUAGGGCAAUGAGCCUGCUGGACGCAAGGAAAGCAGGCAAAUAGCCUUAGUCUUACCAUGAUGAAGUCGUAACAAGGUAUCCGUAGGUGAA
rnacentral:rRNA from 1 species